AGUGAACGUUGGCGGCGUGGAUUAGGCAUGCAAGUCGAGCGAGAACCGUAGCAAUACGGGGACAGCGGCGAAAGGGACAGUAAUGUGUAGGUACCUACCUCCGGGUUCGGGAUAGCUGCGGGAAACUGCAGGUAAUACCGAAUAACGUCUCCGGACCAAAGGUGUGAUUCCACCUGGAGAGGGGCCUGCAUCCUAUUAGCUUGUUGGCGGGGUAACGGCCCACCAAGGCGACGAUGGGUAGCGGGUGUGAGAGCACGACCCGCGUCAUUGGGACGGAGACACUGCCCAGACACCUACGGGUGGCUGCAGUCGUGAAUCUUCGGCAAUGGGCGCAAGCCUGGCCGAGCGACGCCGCGUGCGGGAUGAAGGCCUUCGGGUUGUAAACCGCUGUCGUAGAGGAGGAAAUGCAGGGGGGUUCUCCCCUCUGUUUGACCUAUUCUAGGAGGAAGUACGGGCUAAGUUCGUGCCAGCAGCCGCGGUAA
rnacentral:rRNA from 1 species